rnacentral:rRNA from 1 species
UACGUAGGUGGCGAGCGUUAUCCGGAAUUACUGGGCGUAAAGCGCACGCAGGCGGUUUGACAAGUCUGACGUGAAAGCUCCUGGCUUAACUGGGAGAGGUCGUUGGAAACUGUUGAGCUUGAGGCAAUGAGAGGGGUGUGGAAUUCCCGGUGUAGUGGUGGAAUGCGUAGAUAUCGGGAGGAACACCAGUGGCGAAAGCGGCACCCUGGCAUUGGCCUGACGCUUAGGUGCGAAGGCGUGGGGAGCGAAC